GUGUAAGCCUGUGAAGGUGUGUUGUAAAGCAUGCUGGAGGUAUCACAAGAGCGAAUGCUGACGUGAGUAACGACAAAACGGGUGAAAAGCCCGUUCGCCGGAAGACCAAGGGUUCCAGUCCAACGUUAAUCGGGGCUGGGUGAGUCGACCCCUAAGGCGAGGCCGAGAGGCGUAGUCGCUGCGACGCUGUUUGUUCUCGGGAAUGAAUUGUUUGACGCCAUCGAGCACAGAGUCGCCUCCUGUUCGUGAGCCG
rnacentral:rRNA from 1 species